AUUAGUGACGUCACUUAUGGCAACGUCAGUUGGGGCUGAAGACUGCAAGUUUGAAAAUGAGAAAAAGUCUGGGAAUGUGGAGUUAGAAAGAAGUGUACAUACCAGACCUCUGUAGCCC